AGGGGUCCCUGGCGAUUCUAGGGUCUAAUAUAGAGAGGAAGAGGAGGGAGAGAGCCAUGGCUAGGGUUGAAGACAUAGUUCAGAGAGACGUUUCAUUUAAGCCUUAGAUCUUGUUUUCCUUUCUUCCUUCUCUCAUAUUUAUAAAAGAAAGAUCAUAAGAGAAAAUGGAUUUCUCAUCUUUACAGGGAAGCAUACCUUUUGCACAAAGAUAAUCUCCGACCGUUCAAACUCUACAAUGUACGACGGAGAUGAGCUAUUUGCUGCUAUAUAUGUACAUGAGCAAUAUACUAUAUGAUCUUUGUUGUAUACAUUGAUUUUGUUUCCCUCUUUAGUGAAUAUUUUAUGAAAUGAAUAUUCUUAUUUGGG
rnacentral:lncRNA from 1 species